rnacentral:rRNA from 1 species
UACGUAGGGAGCGAGCGUUGUCCGGAUUUAUUGGGCGUAAAGCGAGCGUAGGCGGUUAGGUAAGUCGGGUGUGAAACCUCCAAGCUCAACUUGGAGCGGCCAUUCGAAACUACCUUGACUUGAGUCUGGUAGGGGAACACGGAAUUCCUGGUGUAGCGGUGAAAUGCUUAGAUAUCAGGAGGAACACCAGUGGCGAAGGCGGUGUUCUGGGCCAGUACUGACGCUGAUGCUCGAAAGCGUGGGGAGCGAACAGG